GUAACGGUCACCGCAAGGUCCCUGCCACAAGGGCAGGCUGUCUUACGCGGCUCGCGCGUCGAGUCGCAACCCGGCAACGCCGGCUUCAACAAAACCCGCCGGACUUCGAUCCGGC
rfam:Pseudomonas aeruginosa PAO1, complete genome.